rnacentral:rRNA from 1 species
AACGAACGCUGGCGGCAGGCUUAACACAUGCAAGCCGAACGCGUCCUUCGGGGUGAGUGGCAGACGGGUGAGUAACGCGUGGGAACGUGCCCUUCAGUUCGGAAUAACCCAGGGAAACUUGGGCUAAUACCGGAUACGUGCGAGAGCAGAAAGAUUUAUGGCUGAAGGAUCGGCCCGCGUCUGAUGAGCUAGUUGGUGAGGUAAUGGCUCACCAAGGGGACGAUCAGUAGCUGGUCUGAGAGGAUGAUCAGCCACAUAGGGACGUGAGACACGGCCCAAACUCCUACGGGAGGCAGCAGUGGGGAAUAUUGGACAAUGGGCGCAAGCCUGAUCCAGCCAUGCCGCGUGAGUGAUGAAGGCCUUAGGGUUGUAAAGCUCUUUCGUCCGGGACGAUAAUGACGGUACCGGAAGAAGAAGCCCCGGCUAACUUCGUGCCAGCCGCCGCCGUAAGAC